rnacentral:rRNA from 1 species
GACGAACGCNGGCGGCGUGCUUAACACAUGCAAGUCGAACGAAGAGCGAUGGAAGCUUGCUUCUAUCAAUCUUAGUGGCGAACGGGUGAGUAACGCGUAAUCAACCUGCCCUUCAGAGGGGGACAACAGUUGGAAACGACUGCUAAUACCGCAUACGAUCUAAUCUCGGCAUCGAGGAUAGAUGAAAGGUGGCCUCUAUGUAUAAGCUAUCACUGAAGGAGGGGAUUGCGUCUGAUUAGCUAGUUGGAGGGGUAACGGCCCACCAAGGCGAUGAUCAGUAGCCGGUCUGAGAGGAUGAACGGCCACAUUGGGACUGAGACACGGCCCAGACUCCUACGGGAGGCAGCAGUGGGGAAUCUUCCGCAAUGGACGAAAGUCUGACGGAGCAACGCCGCGUGAGUGAUGACGGCCUUCGGGUUGUAAAGCUCUGUUAAUCGGGACGAAAGGCCUUCUUGCGAAUAGUGAGAAGGAUGA